AUUGAACGCUGGCGGCAGGCCUAACACAUGCAAGUCGAGCGGAGGAAGGGAGCUUGCUCCUGGAUUCAGCGGCGGACGGGUGAGUAAUGCCUAGGAAUCUGCCUGGUAGUGGGGGAUAACGUCCGGAAACGGGCGCUAAUACCGCAUACGUCCUGAGGGAGAAAGUGGGGGAUCUUCGGACCUCACGCUAUCAGAUGAGCCUAGGUCGGAUUAGCUAGUUGGUGGGGUAAAGGCCUACCAAGGCGACGAUCCGUAACUGGUCUGAGAGGAUGAUCAGUCACACUGGAACUGGGACACGGUCCAGCCUCCUACGGGAGGCAGCAGUGGGGAAUAUUGGCCAAUGGGCGAAAGCCUGAUCCGGCCCUGCCGCGUGUGUGAAGAAGGUCUUCGGAUUGUAAAGCACUUUAAGUUGGGAGGAAGGGCAGUAAGUUAAUACCUUGCUGUUUUGACGUUACCAACAGAAUAAGCACCGGCUAACUUCGUG
rnacentral:rRNA from 1 species